rnacentral:rRNA from 1 species
UGGGGAAUUUUGGACAAUGGGCGAAAGCCUGAUCCAGCAAUGCCGCGUGUGUGAAGAAGGCCUUCGGGUUGUAAAGCACUUUUUGUCCGGAAAGAAAUCCUUGGCUCUAAUACAGUCGGGGGAUGACGGUACCGGAAGAAUAAGCACCGGCUAACUACGUGCCAGCAGCCGCGGUAAUACGUAGGGUGCAAGCGUUAAUCGGAAUUACUGGGCGUAAAGCGUGCGCAGGCGGUUUGCUAAGACCGAUGUGAAAUCCCCGGGCUCAACCUGGGAACUGCAUUGGUGACUGGCAGGCUAGAGUAUGGCAGUAGGGGGGUAGAAUUCCACGUGUGANCAGUGAAAUGCGUAGAGAUGUGGAGGAAUACCGAUGGCGAAGGCAGCCCCCUGGGCCAAUACUGACGCUCAUGCACGAAAGCGUGGGGAGCAAACAGGAUUAGAUACCCUGGUAGUCCACGCCCUAAACGAUGUCAACUAGUUGUUGGGGACUUCAUUUCCUUAGUAACGUAGCUAACGCGUGAAGUUGACCGCCUGGGGAGUAC